UCUCAAAAAUGUGAUUAGUUUUCUUUUUAAAUGGGCUGUUUGUCUUUUCACUUUUAAUUAAAAGGCACAGUGACUGAAGAUGUCUGAUGUCGAUGAGGGUUUCAUCUGUACAUGGCUCCUGCUUCAUCAGCAUCCAGCUCUAACUCUCCUGACCAUGUGGCAACAACUUAGAUAUUGGACAUCUUUGCCAAAUGCCUGCAUGAGGUGGCUGUAUGUGGCAGAGCAAGUGGUCUUUGGCUAUGAAGACUUUGGGGAUCUUUUGGCACAAAAGGGUAAAAAUGGCAUCUCUCUUCUCUCCAUUUAUACCUCAAUACAUCCAGAGGGUCUUGUGGUUAAAACACAACAGGAGACCUGUGCCCACUUUGCCAUAGAACUCCUGUUUAACUUUGGGUAAGUCAUUUAAUCUUUCUGCACCUGUUUUCCAAAAUGGAGAUAUUUACCUACAGUUGUUUACAGUGGCUUAAUUAAUUAAGCUACUGUAAAUUAAUAUUUGUAAAGCACUGUAAGAUCUUCACAUUGAGGGGCUAUAUAUACAUAUAUAUGCCAAGUAUUAUGAUUAUAUGCUAUGCUGAUAUAAUUAGCUGGGAUCUUUGAUCAUUUUUAUAAACUCACAGUUUUUUCUAGUAUCAGAGGGGUAGCCGUGUUAGUCUGAAUCUG
rnacentral:lncRNA from 1 species